UCAUUGGGUUUAAAGGGUCCGUAGGCGGUUUGAUAAGUCAGUGGUGAAAGCCCAUCGCUCAACGAUGGAACGGCCAUUGAUACUGUCAGACUUGAAUUAUUGGGAAGUAACUAGAAUAUGUAGUGUAGCGGUGAAAUGCUUAGAUAUUACAUGGAAUACCAAUUGCGAAGGCAGGUUACUAUCAAUUUAUUGACGCUGAUGGACGAAAGCGUGGGGAGCGAACAGGAUUAGAUACCCUGGUAGUCCACGCCGUAAACGAUGGAUACUAGCUGUUGGGAGCAAUCUCAGUGGCUAAGCGAAAGUGAUAAGUAUCCCACCUGGGGAGUACGUUCGCAAGAAGAAACUCAAAGGAAUUGACGGGGGCCCGCACAAGCGGGGAGCAUGUGGUUUAAUUCGAUGCUACGCGAGGAACCUUA
rnacentral:rRNA from 1 species